UGUGGACUACCUUGCGGGAGUGAACGACGUGGCUGACUGAGCCACAAAAAAACAGAGAAAGUGUUUGCAUAAAGGAUGUGGAGAAAGACGAGAGAGGCACACAAGAACGACUCAGGCUAGUGAAAAGCAGAAAACAUCUUUGGAAGGAGACCAACUACUGCAUAGGACCUCUGGAUGAUGAACUGAUCACUCCAACAACGAGUAUAACUCCUUCAGUUGGGAAAUGCCAUGCUGUCAACUUGUCUGCUCAGUCCUGGGUGGUCACAGUUUGGGCUAGGCUGAGUGUGUGACAACAACACACACUCACACAGACAAGUUAAUAUCCUGCCCUGCUCUCUCACAACCAACCUCUGGCUUUGACUACAAAAAAAAGUAUGGCAGUUGUCCUUGUUGCCUCAUAAGGAUGGACCCCAAAGACCAAGCAGUGAGUCUCCUAAACAAGAUUUGGGCCAAGCUGCAGAGUCUGCCAAACUCCAGCCCCAUCGAGCUGGGAGCUUUCCUCAUCCUCUUGACAUUCAUCGCGGUGUUCCUUAUCAUGAUGGUGGUGGCUUGUGCGUGCUGCUGCUGCUGCCGGAAAGCCAGACGAAAGGGAGCGGACAUUUAAAGGCAUUUGAACUACGUGCCAAAAUGUUAAACAGGUUUUUUCCCCAAGGCUGCCAAGUGUCAGGAUGAGAACUUGUGCGAGGAGUCAGGCUCAUAAGUGGGUGUGUCCAGCCCUCCAAAACAAAGCAACUGUCACUAACAAGGAUGUCCUGCUUACUGCUAAACACCCAGAUUUUCAGGAAUAUCGGCAGUCUUUGGAGAGCUCAUGUACAAUAACACCGUUCUUGACCAGAGGACCAGACACCAAUCCAAUUUCAAAGGGGAACUACCCUUUUUUUUCCGUUUGCAAUUCUUAUGUAAGAAAACAACACGUAUGUUCAAAGUUCCCUCUAAGGUGCGCGCCUGCCCAAUCUGAACUGUAAACAAAAUAAACACAUAGCUAUUUGUUCUGUAGGGUUUUGCAAAGCAACUGUAAGUGGCCAUAACAGAAAAAACAAUGUUUGUCAACACUGUUAGGUUUUUGUCAAAACGCUUUAAGGAGGACAGGGAUCGAGUUGAUCACUUUAUUACUUCUGUCUAGCUCGGGGGUCAGCAACCAGCGGCUCUAGAGCCACAUGCGGUUAGAGUGUCCGCCCUUAGAUCGGUAGGUCGUGAGUUCAAACCCCGGCCGAGUCAUACCAAACUCUAUAAAAAUGGGACCCAUUACCUCCCUGCUUGGCCCUCAGCAUCAAGGGUUAGAAUUGGGGGUUAAAUCACCAAAAUGAUUCCCCAGCGCUGCCACCGCUGCUGCUCACUGCUCCCCUCACCUCCCAGUGGGUGGAACAAGGGGAUGGGUCAAAUGCAGAGGAUAAUUUGACCACACCUAGUGUGUGUGUGACUAUCAGUGGUACUUUAACUUUUUUUUAGCUCUGACCUAGUGGCUCCCAGAAGGUUCUUCAAAAAAUGCAUACACAUUUUUGUUUUAAUAUGGUUUCUUUAGAAGGGCAAACAUGACACAAACCUUCCUAACUGUUAGAAACCCCACUGUUUAUAUUACACAUGCUUUACUGAUGAGAGUAUUUGGCGAGCGCCGUUUUGUCCUAAAUUCAGCGGUCUCUCAACUUGCCGUAGUUUGAUUACAGUACAACUUUCUACGACACUGCCACAGAAAGACGUGUUUUAUGCCACUCCUUCUUUGUCUCAUUUUGUCCACCAAACUUUUUAUGCUUUGCAUGAAUGCACAAAGGUGAGCUUCAUUGACGUUAUUGACUUGUGUGGAGUGCUAAUCAGGCAUAUUUGGUCACUGCAUGAUUGCAAGCUAAUCAAUGCUAACGUGCUAUCUAGACCAGUGGUCCCCAACCACCGGUCCGGGGACCUGUACCGGUCCGUGACACAUUUGCUACCAGACAGCAGAGAAAAAUUUAAUAAUUUAUAAACGACUGCAUUUUCUCUGACUUAACUUUCGCCUGUUCCACGAGACACAUCAAUAAGCUUGUUUAUAGAAACUCAUCAUAGGAAUUUUACAUUUGUUAUAUUUUUUAUAACUUUGUGACAUUAUACAAUGCACAUUAAUGAGCAUAUACAAUAUAAAUGUGACAGAUUGUCGCCAAAGGCUGAUUUCCAUCUGCAUCUCAUUGCAAAGAAACAAACCCUGGGCUCCCACUAACUUAGCGUUAUAGUGAGUUGUAUUUUUCAUGCUCUUAUUUUUGCUGUAUUUAUCUGGCACAAGUGUAAAGCCGGUCCCUGAAAGUAAUGCCUACAUUAAACUGGUCCGUGGUUCAAAAAAGGUUGGGGACCACUGAUCUAGACUAGCUGUAUGUACAUAUUGCAUCAUCAUGCCACGUUUGUAAGUAUAUUUUAGCUCAUUUAAUUUCCUUUACUUAUGUCCUCUGUGUAUUUAAUUUAUAUUUGCAUGUCUCAUGACAACAAAUAGGCUCCAGCACCCCCCGCGACCCCAAAAGGGACAAGCGGUAGAAAAUGGAUGGAUGGAUGUCUCAUGACACAUUAUCUGUAUGUAAUAUUGGCUGCAUUUCUGAUAGUUGUUUGUGUGCCAUGUUGUUCCAGACCACAGCAAACAUUACCCAAGUUGCAAAGAUUGUAAUAAACCCAUUAGAAGAAGACAGCCUGCCGUUUCCUUUAUCUUGGACACACACAUCUAUACUUUAGGACAUUCUAUGCAAGGAGCCAUCUCACCCUCUGAGAAGCCUCUGUUUUACUAAUGUUUUCCAAUGUUGUAAAAAUGUGUAGAUUACAGUCAACAUUUUUGUCAACGCAGAUUUGCGUCAGCCUGUGACACACAGUCAUUUUGAUAGUAGGCUAAUAUAGACACUUACAUCAUGUGUUGCCUUCAUUAUAAGACUUAUACAAGACAGAUCCAGAUGGAUUUUUAUUAAAAUUUUUGGUCCAAUAUGGGUCUUUCAACAUUUUGGGUUGCCGACCCCUGGUCUAGCUAAACCGGCCAUUGUCUGCCGUACAAACCAGGCCAAAAUCUGUCAUAUCAACAGCAGCCGCUCUCUCUCUCUCUCUCACUUGCAACAACACACGCACUCAUGGCUUUUAGCCAGUGAUAUGUUUACAGCCACAUAAUGGGUUAUACUUGUAUAGCGCUUUUCUACCUUCAAGGUACUCAAAGCGCUUUGACAGUAUUUCCACAUUCACCCAUUCACACACAUUCACACACUGAUGGCGGGAGCUGUCAUGCAAGGCGCUAACCAGCACCCAUCAGGAGCAAGGGUGAAGUGUCUUGCCCAAGGACACAACGGACAUGACUAGGAUGGUAGAAGGUGGGGAUUGAACCCCAGUAACCAGCAACCCUCCGAUUGCUGGCACGGCCACUCUACCAACUUCGCCACGCCGUCCCCACAUAAAAAGUUGAACAACUCCAACACCACACAAAGUGUAAAUGCCAGGUGGUUACAUUAUGACUCGUCAAUCAGAAGUGUGCUUAUUCUUUUAAGAAUGUUAAUUUAUGGAUAUUAAUUAUGAUAUGUUCUUACUAUAGAUUACAGAAGUGCUAAUAAAAAGACGAGGAAUGUACACUUGAUCCCAUGCUUACAUCUCAUUGUGCAAUAUGUGAAUGCUUUAGAGCAUGGGUGUCAAACUCUGGCCUGCGGGCCAAAUUUGGCCCACCGUGUAAUUUCAUUUGGCCCUUGAGGCAAUAUCAAAUUAACAUUAGAGCUGGCCCGCCGGUAUUAUACAGUGGUGGUGCCGCUGUAACACCGCAUUCACCGCUAAUACUCAUACUUGCCAACCCUCCAGAUUUUCAGUGCCCCUCUUGAAAGUCUCCCGGGGCAACCAUUCUCCCGAAUUUCUCCCAAUUUCCACCCGGACAACAAUAUUUAGGCAGUGCCUUAAAUGCACUGCCUUUAGCGUCCUCUACAAUCUGUCGUCACGUCUGCUUUCCCUCCAUACAAACAGCGUGCCGGCCCCUGUCACAUGAUAUAUGGGGCUUCUACACACACAUAAGUGAAUGCAAAGCAUACUUGAUCAACAGCCAUACAGGUCACACUGAGGGUGAACGUAUAAACAACUUUAACACUGUUACAAAUAUGCGCCACACUGAACCCACACCAAACAAGAAUGACAAACACAUUUCGGGAGAACAUCCGCACCGUAACACAACAUAAACACAACAGAACAAAUACCCAGAACCCCUUGCAGCACUAACUAUUCCGGGACGCUACAAUAUACACCCCCGCUACCACCAAACCCCGCCCACCUGAGCCCCGACAUUAAUGAACUAGCAUCCCAGAAAAGAUGCCAGGUAUCUGGCUUGGGCACAUCAGAUUAGAUCAGUGUGUUGCAAACUGAGCAGUAAAAAGGCCUGAAUGGUUGAUUUAUUCAUUGUUAUUUUAUUUUCAAAUUUAUUAGCCUGUGGAAAAAGUUAAUGUUGAUAUUUACCUCAGAAGGCUGCAAAUAAAAAAGAGGCAUUACAUUUUUUAUUUAAAUUGUAUUUAAUAUACCAUUGAUGUUUUUCGUUUGUUUUUUUGAAAGCAGAUUUUGCACUAUUAAGUUAUAUAAGCGUUGCUUGUUCCAUAUUCAGUGUUAAAGCAAAUCAGUGUAGCAAACUGAGCAAUAAUUAACAUUUUAUUCAUGCACUUUCUCUUGCUACUUCAAGGCUUGAAUGUUUGAUUCAUUCAUUAUUGUUAUUUUAUUUUCAAAUUUAUUAUUAGCCUGAGGAAAAAGUUUAUUUUGAUAUUUACCUCAGAAGGCUGCAAAUAGAAAUAUUUAAAUUUUAUUUGAUAUGCCAUUGAUAUUUUUGAAUUAUUAUUAUUAUUAUUUGAAACUGGAUUUUGCAUGUCACAAUAAAGUUAUAUAAGCCUUGCUUGUUCAAUAUUUAAUGCAAAACUUGUUUGGGUCCCUAUUAAAAGGUUAAUUUGUUCAACCUUGGCCCGCAGCUUUGUUCAGUUUUAAAUUUUGGCCCACUCUGUAUUUGAGUUUGACACCCCUGCUUUAGAGGGAACUAAAUGUGAUCUGUGAAAGGGGUACAAAUUAUUUCCAAAGUAGGACUCCCACCCCCACCCAGACAUACAAUAAUACACCGCUUAUUUAAAACAUUUUUUUUGUUAUUUUCACUGUAAGUGGGCCAAAUCACUUAUACUAGAACAUUAUCUCAAUAAUAUAAUCAUAAGACAGCCUAUUAUGAUGUCAGUUUUCGGACAGGUGUGUUGCUGGUAUGACAACAGUGUGCACGACUGAUUUUGCUCACAUGUGUUCCACUGAAUACUCAGGGAGUUUUUGCGUUUGCUCAGAAAAAUUAGAGGGAACAUUGCAUAUGCACUCCAGGUCGUAAAAUGGCUAACAAUGCAGCUAAUGGAAGUACAUUAUUCCACCAAUAAAGCCAUCCAAAACAUCCAACAAUAUUAUAUUUACAUCUCCAUCCAUCCAUCUUCUAUCGCUUGUCCCUCUUGUGACCUGAGUAUUAACCAAGUAUACGCGAUUUAGUUAUUAUAAGCAUUGAUUACCGUUUCCAUAGCAACGCACUUCAGACUUCUGGCAACAAAUGUGUGUUCCUACUUCCGAAAACAAACGCGAGAGUUUUCCAAUCAUGGCAGAAUUGGUGACAGACAACGAAGAGGACUAUUUUAGGACAAAUGAGAUUCACAACCUUAUCUUUUUGAAGCUGAAUAUACGGAGGAUGAACUACUGCUUCUAGAAGCGAGCACGAAGGAAGGGUGAGACGUUGGAGCAGACGGAAGUGAGGUGAAAGUGACUUUGACACUAUAAAUGUAGAAUUUGAAGCCAAGCUUUUUCGACAUAAAUUGAGUGCUUACCCAAAUAAACUGGAAAAAUCGCCCCGGCCAGCCGCACCAAACAGACAUCUGUCCAUCGAGUGAGUCACUUUAAUACUAACAUGCAUGAUGCAGCACGUCAUGCGUGUUAGUACAACUACAGUAAAUACGCUGUUUGGCUAGCUGUGUACAAACAAACCAUGAAAUAAUACUUUAAAGAUACUGUAAUAUGAUUGUUCAUGUUUUUCAGUCAGUACAGAUUGGUGUCUUAUCGCAGUGUUGUGCAUUACAAAAGUCAGACACAUUUUGUGUUGACGUAGAAACUAGCUUAUCUCUUACCGUGGUUAGUACCUAAGCAUGCCGAUGUGUUACUACGCUAGAAAAAGAGUUCCUCAGUGUUCGCUCUUACAAUAACAAUGUUGCUACAGUGUGGUUAUUAUACAGGUUACAGAACAUAAAUGAAGUAUUGUUGACUGUUUUUGAAUGUAUUUUUAAAGUGAUUUAGAGGUAGAAUUGAUUGCUCCCAUUAGCUGCAUUGCUAGCCACCAAGAACGUGACGAUUAGUACAUGUUAGAAUGCAAAAAAAACAAAAAAGCUUUUGUCUUCCAUAAUGAUUGUGAAGAAUAGGCAAAUUUCCCCCCAAAAAAUUCAGUUCCCCUUUAACACUAGUAAUACAAUCUUGUAGAUUUGUUUUUUUUAAUGUGUUUUGCAAUGUUUUUAAACUGUUUCGUAUUAUGUUUUGUGGGGACCGCAGUAAUAUGUAAAAUAAUCUGCAGAUAUGUACGUUUUGAAAUUAAUUAUUUACACAGAAAUAUUUUGUAAAUGUUUUAUUUACAUACCUUAAUAGUUUCCAAACGGUGUCUGUAACACGGCAGUAAAACGGCUGUUCAAACAAAACAGAAGUCAUCGUCAUGGACCCACUAGCUGAGGAAGCUAGCUCUUUAAUCAGCUAAACAGACUUAACUCCACGAUGACGUUUUGGUGAAUUUACUGAGAAAUUUGAGAAACUGGAAUAAUACAAAAAGAAUGCCAUUGUAAGUUAAUAAUACUAACAGAGACACUUGUAAAUAUGUUAGCAUAUUAGCUAAUGCUAAUGCUGGUAGCGUCAUUACAUUACAAUAGCAUGUACAAAUAUGCAUGAAAACACUCCUACAGACUUCACACAUGGGAAGUCUUCAUACGAGUAAAAACGUUAUGGAUGGCCAGAUGAUUGAACGUUACUCUACUUCCUGUUGAAAGCACUGCCGGUAAAUAGAAGGACACUGCAGCACCUGCAGUGAGUGAAUUCAUCCAAAAGAUGGCGCAAUAGCACAAACAAUAAAACACCCUCUCAGUGUUUUUGCUUGUUUUGUCUUUUUUAAUUAUUUUUAUUAUGGAUGUCAGUGAAGAAAAAUCCUUCAAUAAGCAGCUCUGUCUUAUAAGCCGCAGGAUUCAAAGUGUAGGAAAAAAGUAGCGGCUUAUAGUCUAGAAUUUAGGGUAUAUAUACAGUAUAUAAAACGAUGGAGGAGUUUGGAUGUGUUUUUAGAGUGCUUUAUAGGCAGAAUAGAGCAACUCUCAUUGACUUCAUUGUUAGCUGACAUUUGCUAACAUUAUUUACGAGUUAGAAUGUAUUAAUAAAAAAACAUUUGUGUUUUUGUCUUACAUAUGGAUUGUGAAUGAUAGGUAAGAUUAAAACAAAGUAUAGUUACCCUUUAAAUAUUUAGGAAAAUAG